rnacentral:rRNA from 1 species
UACAGAGGUCUCGAGCGUUAGGCGGAAUCACUGGGCUUAAAGCGUGUGUAGGUGGAUGCCUAAGUACCUUGUGAAAUCCCACGGCUUAACUGUGGAACUGCUUGGUAUACUGGGUGUCUUGAGUCACUCAGGGGCGAGCGGAACAAAUGGUGGAGCGGUGAAAUGCGUAGAUAUCAUUUGGAACGCCAAUGGUGAAAACAGCUCGCUGGGGGUGCACUGACACUGAGACACGAAAGCCAGGGGAGCGAACGGG